AGAGUUUGAUCCUGGCUCAGGACGAACGCUGGCGGCGUGCCUAAUACAUGCAAGUCGAGCGAAGUGUCCAGACGGAAGCCUUCGGGUGGAAGACUGGAGACUUAGCGGCGGAUGGGUGAGUAACACGUAGGUAACCUGCCCGUAAGACCGGGAUAACCCGUGGAAACACUGGCUAAUACCGGAUGUGGUCUAACGUUCGCAUGAAUGUUAGAAGAAAGGGAGGCCUUUGGCUUCCGCUUACGGAUGGGCCUGCGGCGCAUUAGCUUGUUGGUGGGGGAACGGCUCACCAAGGCCACGAUGCGUAGCCGACCUGAGAGGGUGAUCGGCCACACUGGGACUGAGACACGGCCCAGACUCCUACGGGAGGCAGCAGUAGGGAAUCUUCCGCAAUGGACGCAAGUCUGACGGAGCAACGCCGCGUGAGUGAGGAAGGCCUUCGGGUCGUAAAGCUCUGUUGCCAGGGAAGAACAAGCACUUGAGUAACUGCAAGAGCUUUGACGGUACCUGAGAAGAAAGCCCCGGCUAACUUCGUGCCAGCCGCCGCGGUAAUAC
rnacentral:rRNA from 1 species